CACAGAUUUACAUCGAGAUGAUUUGCAUCGCAGCACAAGCUUCAGCAGGUUUUAUAUCUCUGUGAGUCUGAACUCUGAGAAUCUGAACCAACAGCAACCAUGAGCUUCAUCACCAUCUUCAUCUGGAUCUUCACUAGCUGCUGUUUCACAGAAUCAGUAUCUGGAGUGACAGUCACUCAGACGCCUGCAGAGAAACCUGUUCAACCAGGAGACACAGUUACUAUGUCCUGUAAAACCAGUCCUGAAGUUUACCAGGGUUGGGGUAAUCAGCCUCUAUCCUGGUACUUACAGAAACCUGGAGAAGCUCCUAAACUCCUGAUUUAUUUAGCAAACACCCUCCAGUCAGGAACUCCAUCUAGAUUCAGUGGCAGUGGAUCUAACAGUGAUUUCACUCUGACCAUCAGUGGAGUCCAGACUGAAGAUGCUGGACAUUAUUACUGUCAGAGUUUCCACUGGCCGGGUAGCACUAGGCUGUUCACACAGUGAUAAAGGCUGGUACAAAAACCUGUGUCAGUCAGAGUCACAGUGACUGAACUGAUGCUGCAGCUGAUCAAACACUAUCACUCACUCUUACAGAGAAGAUUUUCAUGGAUAUUAAAUUAAACAAAGUGUACAUUGAGUUCUCCACUUACUAACUACUUUAUCUUAUUAAAUCUUAAUCUUAUUAAAUUGAUCCUACACUAAAGAUGUAUAUCUGUGAGGUUCAUUAUUUGGCUGCAUGUUCUUUUAUCAUGAAUCUGCAGGUGUUUUCAUGCUCCAUUGAGUGAAGUUGGUAACACUUUAGACUACUGUUUCUUACUUACUGCAUAACUACUAUUAAUUAUCUACUAGUUAAGGUUCAAGAAAUAUAACUAUCAAAAUAAUUACUACUGAACAGUUAUACACAAAUAGUCACUAAUCAAGUACUUGAGUAAAAGUACAGAUACCCCAAUACAAUAUUAUAAAAAUUAUAAGUAGGCCUAUUCAUUUUCAAAAUUCCUUGAGUAAAAGGACAAGUACCAAUUACUACUACAGUAACAUCUUUAUUACAGUCCACUCAUUCGCCUGUAAUGGAAAUGAAAUAUGCAUUUUGUUUGCUUCUAAAUGUUUAACUUUUGAUUAUAAAAUGUUUGUUAAAUUAGUUUAAAUGUGGGCAGUAUACAUGUUAAAAUGGAAUAAAAUAUGCUGUAUUAAGAAAUGUUCUCGUCUGAAAUAAACAGAUGACAG